AGAAAGCUUGGGUGGGUUGGCAGCCAGAUGGAGACGCAACUGUUCCGCGGCGGGCGGACCUUCAGUUGCGGCGUGAAGCUGAGCAGGUAUCGGAAGGAGGCUGCAUCGCGGGCUCCGGGCAGGAAGGCUCAGCCUUAGAACUUUGCAAUUCCACCCCAAAGAGCGCUGGAUGGGUGCAGCCAGAGAAACAAAUAAAGACAUGGAGAGAAAUUUGAAAUAUGAGUAAUUUUUCCUCAGUGGUAAGAUAAAACCCAGGAAAAAAAAAUGGAACAUGUCUCUGAGCCUGUAGAGAUUAUAUUAUCAGGUUGACAUUGUCUUUAAAUUUGAGCCUUCAGAUUACUAUCAACAUUGUUUAACUGCUUUGCUAAUCCAGAAAGUUAAU